rnacentral:lncRNA from 1 species
GCCCUCGCCCCCACCACUGCCACCGUCGUUCUUUUCUGCCCUCUCCCUCUCUGUCUGUCUCUCUCUGUCUCUUUUCUUUUUCUCUCUGCCUGUUAGCUGCUCUCUCUUAAUCUCUGCCUCUUUGCUUUUUUUCUCUAUGUGCAAGCUAAGACAUACUACACACUAUAGUUUGAAGAAGCAGACAAGGAACUCUUAACCAUUCUAUCUUCUCCAGUUCUUUGCCCAUUGCCUGGACUCAGUGUUCAUGCAAGAUAAAGUCGGCUACACACUUCCCUUCCCAAGCAUUACUUGCCAGUUGUCGUCACUGUGGAAAUGGGACUAGAUGGCUCAGUCAGAAAAGGCUGUGCAACUUCCACCUGGUCCUCUUGAACUGCUCACUCUCUGGGGAGGCCAGUUGCCGUGGGAGAAGUCUGUACUCUGAGGCUGCCAUACUGGAGGAGGCGUGUGCAGGUGCUCGGUGAGGAGCUCCUGAGGACUGCCGGCCCUGUGAGUCCAGCCCGUAGAAGAGGCCAUCUCCAGUCAACAUCUAACUGGCACUGCAUGAGAGACCCCAACAGACAACUGCCCAGCUGAGCCCUUCCUGAAUUUCUGGCCCAGAAAGUUAUGAACCACAUACGACAUUUGUUGUUUUAUACUACUAAGCUUCACCAUAGUUUGUUACACAGUACUAGUAAUCAGAACAAUUACUAUAGAGCAAAAUAGAAUUUAUGGCAAAAAAAAUUUCAACACUGUAAAAUAAGAUAUUUCAUAAUAAACUGAGAAAGAGAAACAUGUUUUAGGUACAUAUUUAUGCAUCAAAAACAUAAGUCUUGAAUAUGCAAAUAAGGAAUGGAG